GAUGAACGCUGGCGGCGUGCCUAAUACAUGCAAGUCGAGCGAACGGACAAGAAGCUUGCUUCUCUGAUGUUAGCGGCGGACGGGUGAGUAACACGUGGAUAACCUACCUAUAAGACUGGGAUAACUUCGGGAAACCGGAGCUAAUACCGGAUAAUAUUUUGAACCGCAUGGUUCAAAAGUGAAAGACGGUCUUGCUGUCACUUAUAGAUGGAUCCGCGCUGCAUUAGCUAGUUGGUAAGGUAACGGCUUACCAAGGCAACGAUGCAUAGCCGACCUGAGAGGGUGAUCGGCCACACUGGAACUGAGACACGGUCCAGACUCCUACGGGAGGCAGCAGUAGGGAAUCUUCCGCAAAGGGCGAAAGCCUGACGGAGCAACGCCGCGUGAGUGAUGAAGGUCUUCGGAUCGUAAAACUCUGUUAUUAGGGAAGAACAUAUGUGUAAGUAACUGUGCACAUCUUGACGGUACCUAAUCAGAAAGCCACGGCUAACUACGUG
rnacentral:rRNA from 1 species